rnacentral:rRNA from 1 species
AUACGUAGGGGGCGAGCGUUGUCCGGAAUUAUUGGGCGUAAAGGGUUCGCAGGCGGCCUUUUAAGUCAGAUGUGAAAGCCCACGGCUUAACCGUGGUAAGCAUUUGAAACUGGAAGGCUUGAGUUAAGGAGAGGAAAGUGGAAUUCCUAGUGUAGCGGUGAAAUGCGUAGAUAUUAGGAGGAAUACCAGUGGCGAAGGCGGCUUUCUGGACUUAUACUGACGCGGAGGAACGAAAGCGUGGGGAGCAAACAGGAGUAUAUCCCCUGGUAGGCCACGCCGUAAGCGAUGAGUGCUAGGUGUUGGGGGUCAAACCUCGGUGCCGCAGCUAACGCAUUAAGCACUCCGCCUGGGGAGUACGUACGCAAGUAUGAAACUCAAAGGAAUUGACGGGG